GCAAGUCGAACGAUGAAGCCCAGCUUCGCUGGGUGGAUUAGUGGCGAACGGGUGAGUAACACGUGAGUAACCUGCCCUUAACUCUGGGAUAAGCCUGGGAAACUGGGUCUAAUACCGGAUAGGAGCGUCCACCGCAUGGUGGGUGUUGGAAAGAUUUAUCGGUUUUGGAUGGACUCGCGGCCUAUCAGCUUGUUGGUGAGGUAAUGGCUCACCAAGGCGACGACGGGUAGCCGGCCUGAGAGGGUGACCGGCCACACUGGGACUGAGACACGGCCCAGACUCCUACGGGAGGCAGCAGUGGGGAAUAUUGCACAAUGGGCGCAAGCCUGAUGCAGCGAU
rnacentral:rRNA from 1 species